rnacentral:rRNA from 1 species
ACCCGCUGAACUUAAGCAUAUCAAUAAGCGGAGGAAAAGAAACCAACAGGGAUUGCCCUAGUAACGGCGAGUGAAGCGGCAACAGCUCAAAUUUGAAAUCUGGCGUCUCUGGCGUCCGAGUUGUAAUUUGCAGAGGGCGCUUUGGCAUUGGCAGCGGUCCAAGUUCCUUGGAACAGGACGUCACAGAGGGUGAGAAUCCCGUACGUGGUCGCUAGCCUUUACCGUGUAAAGCCCCUUCGACGAGUCGAGUUGUUUGGGAAUGCAGCUCUAAAUGGGAGGUAAAUUUCUUCUAAAGCUAAAUACUGGCCAGAGACCGAUAGCGCACAAGUAGAGUGAUCGAAAGAUGAAAAGCACUUUGGAAAGAGAGUUAAAAAGCACGUGAAAUUGUUGAAAGGGAAGCGCUUGCAGCCAGACUUGCCUGUAGUUGCUCAUCCGGGUUUUUACCCGGUGCACUCUUCUAUAGGCAGGCCAGCAUCAGUUUGGGCGGUUGGAUAAAGGUCUCUGUCAUGUACCUCUCUUCGGGGAGAACUUAUAGGGGAGACGACAUGCAACCAGCCCGGACUGAGGUCCGCGCAUCUGCUAGGAUGCUGGCGUAAUGGCUGU